AUGGCCUCUCUGACUGAUGACAUAGAAGAUUCCAUCAUUUGGAAGUUCACCAGGGAUGGGGUGUACUCUACUUCCUCUGCCUAUAGGGCUCUGUAUGAGGGACUCACUAAGUCGGAUCUUGUUCACACAGUUUGGAAGGUUUGGGCACCCCCAAGGUGCAAGUUCUUUGCCUGGCUUGUCCUUCAAAAUAGGAUUUGGACUUCGGAUCGGCUGAGAUGCCGCGGCUGGCCAAACUGUGGCCUCUGCCCUCUAUGUCAGCAAUGCCAAGAGUCGGCCGCCCACCUCCUUUUCCAAUGUCGCUACACCACCCGCAUUUAG
rnacentral:rRNA from 1 species